rnacentral:tRNA from 1 species
GCUCUUGUGGCUUAGUGGUAUAGCGUUACCUUGGUAAGGUAGAGGUCGUGAGUUCGAUUCUCACCAAGAGCU